GAUGAACGCUGGCGGCGUGCCUAAUACAUGCAAGUCGAGCGAACAGAUGAGGAGCUUGCUCCUCUGACGUUAGCGGCGGACGGGUGAGUAACACGUGGAUAACCUACCUAUAAGACUGGGAUAACUUCGGGAAACCGGAGCUAAUACCGGAUAAUAUAUUGAACCGCAUGGUUCAAUAGUGAAAGACGGUUUUGCUGUCACUUAUAGAUGGAUCCGCGCCGCAUUAGCUAGUUGGUAAGGUAACGGCUUACCAAGGCAACGAUGCGUAGCCGACCUGAGAGGGUGAUCGGCCACACUGGAACUGAGACACGGUCCAGACUCCUAAGGGAGGCAGCAAUAGGGAAUCUUCCGCAAUGGGCGAAAGCCUGACGGAGCAACGCCGCGUGAGUGAUGAAGGUCUUCGGAUCGUAAAACUCUGUUAUUAGGGAAGAACAAAUGUGUAAGUAACUAUGCACGUCUUGACGGUACCUAAUCAGAAAGCCACGGCUAACUACGUG
rnacentral:rRNA from 1 species